GUGCUCACUUCAGCAGCUCAUACACUACAACCGGAACGAUACAGAGAUGAUUACCACGGCGUCUACGCAAGGAUGACACAAAUCCAUCAGGCGUUCCAUAUUACA
ensembl:snRNA U6 U6 spliceosomal RNA